UGGCGGCGUGCCUAACACAUGCAAGUCGAACGGAGUAUUACGCUGAAAUUGAGAGCAGCUUGCUGCAGGAAAUUCUUGUAAUACUUAGUGGCGGACGGGUGAGUAACGCGUGAGGAACCUGCCUUACAGAGGGGGACAACAGUUGGAAACGACCGCUAAUACCGCAUGACGCAUUUUGGGGGCAUCCUCGAAAUGCCAAAAGAUUUAUCGCUGAAAGAUGGGCUCGCGUCUGAUUAGAUAGUUGGCGGGGUAACGGCCCACCAAGUCGACGAUCAGUAGCCGGACUGAGAGGUUGAACGGCCACAUUGGGACUGAGAUACGGCCCAGACUCCUACGGGAGGCAGCAGUGGGGAAUAUUGGGGACCAAGUGGGGGAAACCCUGACCCAGCAACGCCGCGUGAAGGAAGAAGGCUUUCGGGUUGUAAACUUCUUUACCAGGGACGAAGGACGUGACGGUACCUGGAGAAAAAGCCACGGCUAACUACGUGCCAGCCGCGGC
rnacentral:rRNA from 1 species